AGUUUCCAGAUUUGGAACUUGGAAGAGGAGACUUUGAGCACGGAGUCUAGAGAAUUCGAUCGCAAUCCACCGGAAAGCUAUUUAUUAUAUUAAAGCUGUUUAUUUGGAUUUCUCAAAAAGCACGCAGAAAACAGAGAGAUGAUUCAGAUAACAUAACACAGCUAAGCUUCCUUCAACUAUGUACCUAUCUACUCUUCAUUAGUUGCACAGCUAGCUAGCUAGCAAAGUUAAGCAAGAGAAUAAUCUGAAAGGAAAUCAAAUGGGCAUCAGGAGAUUGCAAAGAAACCAAAAAAGGAGCGAUCAAUGGUGUUGGUUGAGGAAUAUGUAUCAUAUCCGUGGUAUAAUCUUUCAGGUGUUUGGCAUAUGCCAUAUAUUUCUUCAUUGCUACUUUCUUUCAAUCAUUCAGUAUAGCUUGCCUUAUAAAAGGGCCGUGCAGGUGAGGAGCAAAGCAAGGUAGAGGACUGAUCCAGAAGGGAAUAUGUAUGUAUAAUUUAGGGUUAACUGAGUGAGCCAGUCUUAGGGCUUCCUCUCCCUUGGCAGGCUACGAGAGAUCCAAGUCAGAUGCAUGAAGCAUGCAUGGUUUAAUGAUUAUUCUGAUAUCAAGUGGCCUGCCAAAGGAGAGUUGCCCUGUGACUGCCUGCAGCUUAUUAUAUAAUUACAUCAAAAGCUAUGGAUCCAACCAAAUGCAAUUAUAUAUAUAUAUAUAUAUAUAUAAUGUCAGGUAAUUGUGCAUUCUUGUGAUAACUUGUAUCUAUAUCCAUAUAUAUACUAAUACCUAGAAUUAUUAUAUCCUUCACUUAGGGAAGGUUUAGUUCUGGGGUGGUUGUCUCAAGUCCGGUGAUCUUCCUUAAUCUCUUGAAGACUUGCUACCGUAUGUUCUUUGUUUUUUUCAUGUUUUUUAUUUCUUAAAUUUUUUUUGGUCUUCUGAUUUCUUGAAAAGAAAGUCUUUCCACAUGCACUUAUUGUAUAAUAGUGCUACUACUACUAAUAAUAAAGAGGUUAAGUUCUGACAUGCAGUUGAUAUGAAAGAUUACAAUCAAAUUUCUUUGAUAAGAUUUCUGUUGACCAAAAGGUUGACAGCUAUAAUGAAUGGAUGUCAAAUUUCUUUGAUAUAUCUUUCAAAAAUGAUAUUGAGAGCAAGCGUUGAAUCCGCUAAGUCUAUGCAAGUUGCCAUAGUUAGUAUUUGUAUGAGUGCUUAUUGUAAUAAGUUUUGAGAUCAAUUUCUGAACGUGUCUUUGUAAAGAACUAUUAUGCUAGGACAAAUAUCUCCUAUGAUUUAUCUUUUUCCAGAGUA